rnacentral:lncRNA from 1 species
AUUUCUUCCAUAUCAUUUCUGCUUUAUUUGGCUCCAAGGACAUUUCUAUGUGUAGUUGUUUUGUUGUAGUAACAAUAAACUGCAGUUGGUUGUAGUUGUUUGAAGUAAUGAAAUGGCGUUUGAUUGCUACUUCCAUAGUUCUAUUAGUCUGUUAUAUUUGGCAAAAAACAAUUCCCUUUGUCAUGGUUAAGUGAACUUUCUAUUGCUUAGUACAACAGUAUAGUACUAUAGUGGCUCAUUCUAAAACAAUGGGUAAGAACUAAGAAGAUUUGCUGUAACACUAAAAUUGAAAAUAAAACUAAAACAUAGUAACAUACUUGUAAUUGUAAAAUUAGAGUGAAGCAUAUAUUUUACCUUUAGAACAUGUAGUCAUACUUUAGUUUGUUGCCUAUUUUAAGAAAUAAAUGCUAUAUGGACAUGUUUGCAGCACAUUUUGUUUACAUGUUUGAUGUGCCUCUCUGUUCCACCUCCUGAGUUCUUGCCUGGGUAUUUUGAAUCUGUAGAGUGGCUAACAACUGUUGAAUGUGUUUUUUAAUUGUUAAAUUUUGCUGUUUUUUUAAAGCUUACUUGUAGGUUUCCAUUUCUUUUAUAGUUAUUUCUAUUAGCAUUUAAUGAUUUACAAUGGACCCUCCCUCUUAGUAACUAAUUUCCUCAAGUUUGUAGAGAUUUUCUUUUACCUUUUUCUGUUGAGAGCUUGUAUUUGAGGUUUACUGUGUUUAGGUGAUCUCACCCUAUGGGUGUUGUUACUGUUCCUUGCAUAUAGUUGUUACUGCUUUGCUAUUCAUUGCCAUGUUUCUCCACCUAUUUUUUCGUUUUAUUACCGCUUGGAGUUGCUUGAGCUGAGGGUCUUUCGGAAACAGCCUCUCUACCUCUCCGAGGUAGUGGAAAGACUGCGUACACUCUACCCUCCCAGACCCCACUUUGUGGGAUUUCACUUGGUAUGUUGAUGUUGAGAGCUUGUAUAGAGGUUAAGUAUCCUUUGCGGUUGUAUUAAAUCAUUUGCCUUGUCUCUUUACAGGCUGCUAACUAUUUAAACAUAAAGAGCUUGCUAGAUCUGACAUGUCAGACAGUAGCAGACAUGAUUAAGGGAAAGACGCCUGAGGAGAUACGCAAGACGUUCAACAUCAAGAAUGACUUCACUCCUGAGGAAGAGGAAGAAGUCAGGAGGGAGAAUGCCUGGGCAUUCGAGUGAAUUUGAGUCUGUUAAGCGUCCAUAUCUGUAGAUAGAUCUGCAAUAUACUUUAGUAGAUGCUAUGAAUAACUUAUAUUAGUAAGUGUGUGACUGUUGUUUCUCGGACCUUCUGGCUUUGGCUGUUGAACCUCUUUUUCUCUGUUAUGCCAUGGUUUCUUGGUAGCCGAUGUCCAUAUUCAUUGAUCUAUUAUUGGAAAUUCAUAUUGUUUCUUGUGUUUAUCAUCACUGGUGCAUUUAGCUUCUUUACUCUUUACUUAAAUGUAAAGGUCAAUUCCUUGGCUUGUGCAAUGGUUUGGUUGUGUUGUUUUCUGUCACAAAAGGAUGUCAGACUAGAGAGUGUAUGUGAGUAGUCUUACAUGGGCAUGGUAUUUGAAGGCACAUAAUGGCCUAGGAUUUGUAGGUUCUUACCUUGAAUCCCGCUUUAGACAGACUCAGUUGAGAGUUUGAGUGUCACUAAGAGAUGGAGAAGUCCACUUUGGUGGGUGAUACAGUGUGAUGGCCUUGGUCCAAUGAGUAGUGCAUUAUUAGAAGAACCAAUAUUUAUCAUAAAUAAGAGCUGUAUAUGUGAAGUUUGACCUUCAUAUCUUAUUCACGAUAAUUUCUUCUCUGAUUUUUUUCCUCAUUAAACGGCUGCACAACUAUACUUGGGUGUGGCAGGAUAAUUUGUUUGGUCUUAUGUUUCACUGUUCUUAUUAUGUGAUUAUUUCCAUGACAUGUUUGUUUCAGUCGGAUCUGGGCAACGUUACCUGUUGUGGCAGGAUGACUGGCCAGACCUUGUAUUCCUGUUGUUGUUUACACGACAUUAUGUCCCUGUUGGUUGAAGCUGUUGGUUGAAGGUAGCUGGUAUGGAAAUAUAUUUGCAAUUUUGCCAAUGUAGUUCGGUGAGUGAUGGUCAUUUUCUUUUUAAAAAUAAAAAUAAAAAUAAAAUCAUAAAAUUAUGAAUGGGCUAUGAGGAGAUCCUUUUCGUCAUUUAAAUAUGCGGCUAAUACAUGAACAAAGAAGAAAAAAAUAAUAAUACUCCAAACAGAGUAUACUCCAAGAUCAAAUGGUUCCGGCUAGUGACAUUAUGCGAAUGAAAAAUGGUUCUGCCAGGUGUUGAUUAUUGUGAUUUGAUGAACUUGACACAUGAGAUUGAUCUAUUUGAUACUUGUGAUUGAUCUACUUGAUACAUGCGAUAUAUUCAUUUGAUACUUGUGAUGGAUAUUCUUUAUCCUUGUUCGUUGUUGAACUCUGACUAUUGGAUUGUGAUUGUUAACCCUUGUGAAUUGUGUAUUGUGAAACUGUUAGAUUGGGUUGAUUUUUUGCAGGUUAUAGUUUGAGGAGGUUUGGUUGGGAUGAAUGGAGUACUUGUAUUCUAGCUAAUUUUGUCUUGUUUAUUUGGUUACUUAUUGAGUACCGUAUUGUUUGGUACUCACUCCUCAUUUUUACACUUGUGUAGGUUCUAAGUCUGGAGCCAUGUGAUUGUUCUUCUUCUGGUUACAUCUGAGGAAACAUUGAGAAGUAGUUGCUUGUCAUCUGGCGGGCCCUCUUGUUUCUUGUUUUAUAUUUUGUUCUAUUUGAGAAAUAAAGACAUUGAGACUUGUAAUUAUCUUUCAAUUUCGCACUUUAUACAUUAGUGGCUUGUACACGUGACAAUUAGUUUUGGAGGUUAUAUUAGAAUGAAUAAGUUUUCCACUCUUAUGUUAUUCUUGUUUUACUUUUCACAUAUUUUUGUUUCGUUGGGUUGAGGCUGACUUGUCUUGAUGGAAAUACACGAGUGUCAUUACGCCCAUUUUUGGAUCGUGACAAUCUCUAUCGAUUGUUGUGAUUUUUGACCUGCUUUCUAAAAAAAUGAAAAAAGGAAGAUAUGGGCAGUAAUUAAAACAGAAAUCAACUUGUGGCUAAAACUUACCCUUGAAAGCAAACAAAUAUGGACACUUCAUUGAAAGCUUGAAAAAAAAUGGAUUAUCACAUUUCUAAAGAAAGAAAGAAGGAAUGAUCUUCGAUGUACAUAUAGAUAUACUUUUUUAAAAAUAUUAUAAUGUAAGUGUAAUUGGUAAUGACUUUACUAAUUGAUGGCUAAAGAUUAAAAUAUCCUUUUACUUUCCUCAAUGGACUUCUAACGCACAUGUUAAAACUAGAAGUGUUCACAGGUCUAUUUAGAUUAGUUAUUGUUCAAAAUCAAAAUCAAAUCAAUUUAAUUAGUUUUUAAAUUAUUAAAAUCAAAUCAAAACUAAAUAAUUAAUAUAUAUAUAGUUCGAUUAUUAAUAAUACACUAAAAUAAAAUAAACGAUUCAUAGAGAAAAAACGACAACAAUGCAUUUGAAAGGAAUAAAUUGUUUUCGUGUCAUUUUAUAAUUCUUAUACCAGAACUACAAUUAUGUUAACUUCCUGCUUAUAUUGUUAACUAAUCCACUGUACUAUAACAACAACAACAAUAUCAUUCCCAUUGAAAUGCGCACACCUUACUACGGUUUCCAAAAGACCCCCUCCUCAAGUGUAUCGAACCCAUGGAAAAGAUGGAGAAAACAUGAGACAUAAAAUCGUAGCAAUAGUAAAAUGUAAUGAUAAUUGAAAUGCAAUAAACAACAAAUGGAAAGAACUAUUAGGGCACGACUGGUCCUAAGAAAUACAUUAUACCUCUACAUGACAAGACACCACUCUAACCCCUACUAGCCUUUUACCCUAAUACGCGUCUCUAGUUCUUCAUAUCUAAAGUCAUGUCCUAAGUAAUAUGAAGCUGCAACAUGUCAUUUUUACCCCUUACUAGCCUUCUACCCUAAUACGUACCCUUCCAAUUCAGUUUAACCAUCAUUCGGGGACGGAUGAUCCCACGGGAAAGAUGUAAAACCCCAAAAAUUCUAACACAAAUCUUAUCUUGAAAAUUUCUGUAGUCUGAUGGGCCCGUAGAAGUAUCUACAAACCAUAGACAGAUUCGUAGAACCGGGUCCUUGAAAGUUGGUUAUCAAGUCUAAGUUUCACGAACCAGACUACGGGUCGUAUAAGUUCCUACGGUCUCAUGGAAACUAAAUCCUGAAGAACACUCCCAGUAAGGUUCCUACAAAAGAGAAGGACAACCCAUCAAAGUUUCUAUGGGCCGUAGAAAGGGUCCUCAAUCCCCAACUUCAGGAAUCUAGAAAACUCAACAUGUUCCUAUGAGAGGGUCUACGACUCAUAGACUUUUGUACGGACCAUAAAUGGCCUUCCGUAGACGACUCCAGUCAGUUUUUAAGAGGGGUUAUUUUUCUCACUCUUUUUAAAUCUGAACCCCGAAGUUUUUACACCUAAUUAAUGUCACAAGAAUCCCUAGCACAAAAUUGAUUUGGAAGCUUCCUUACCAAUUAAGUUUUGAUAUAAGAUUCUACUUAGAUCAACUUCAAAUAACUAUAUCUCUUAGAUUAUGAAAAUUUAGGGGCUCAUAACCAUUUAGAUUAAAGUUAUUUGAGUCUUAUUUCCAAUACCACCAAUUUUACAUCAAUCAUAGUUUUGAGUAAUUAGUUAUGAUCAUUUUACUAACCUGAUACAGUACAAUGACGAAAUAGCCAACGGGGAAAUACUAAAAAGGAUCAUUUUUGUCUUUUUACCACAACACACCCUAAACAAAAAAUUUGACUCCUAAAAACCUCUAAACAAUCAGAUUUUCAUCUCUUAAUUCUCCAUUCUCUUCUCUCUCAAACUCCAAGGUAAAAUCCUAAGGAAAAUCAAAGCAUAAGACUUCCAUGCAAGAUUCUUUCGAAUCUUUUUCAAGAUUCUUCUUCAAGGUAAGUCUUUCUCCAAGAAUUUUAUUCUUUCAAACUCAAAUUCAUUCAUACAAUUAUGAAUCAUCAAUGAAAAUCUUAGUUCUUGGCCAUAGGGUUUCAAGAAACUAAUUCAAGAAUCUCAAGAAAGGUUUUCUUGAUCAUUCUUCUUCAAGCUAGGGUUUCAAACUUCAUCAAGAACUUUAUUUUUUCCAGGUAUGUAAGGUUAUUCAUAGUGUUGGAAUAGUUCGUCCUCAUGUCUUUCAUCUCAAUUCUAUUAGUGAAACGUUAUGUUUAGAGCAUUAUCAACAAUUUUUUUAAAAUUAAAAUUCAGUUGUGUUUCUUUUCUGAGUUUCAAUUCCUUAACCGUUGAGAUUCUGAUUUCUAUUAUGUAUAUUGAUUCUAAUUUUUUGUUUAUAUUUUGUAUCAUAUGAACCCUAUUUGUUUAUAAAAAUUACUAUAUGAGAUUUCUUAUACAUUAAUUUUGGACUUUAUAGGUAAGUCCAUAAGUAUAUGUUUUAAAUGCAUGUUUGGAAAAGAGUUUUUAAAGAAAGGAUCAAAUGAUUUCAUAUGUUUUAUUUGACAGUUCAGAAAGAGAAAGAAUAUAAUUGAUUUUUUGAAAAGUACUUCGGUAAAGAAAAAUAAAAGUAAAGUAAAGUAAUAGUCUCUUUUUCACUCAAUGUCCCAUAAAACUACGUAGCCAACGUACAGAUGGUUUUCACUACUUGUUCAUAUAUUGUUUUGCUUGAUAUGUAUUUAGUCAUCAAUUAUGUUAUUGUUUUAUUCAGUCAUAUUACACACUUGUAUAUUCAAUAUAUUGAUGUCAUUCGAUCUACAUCUUUUGAUGAUGCAGAUUCAAAUAUUUACGGUCAUCAACAGAUGUUCCGUUGACUUCAUCUACUCGUCAGCUUCUGGUGAGACCUCUCUGAUUUCUGAGGACUCCAUUUUUAUUGCUCUAUAAUAUUAGGAUUUUAAGGUGUUGUGGGUCUUGUCCCGAUACCAAUCUUUAGAUAGUAGAGACUUCAUGGGCAAACAGAGUUAGACGGUUUUCACUAUUUUACUUGGAUGUUUUACUAAACACUUAAGGGUCGUUUGGUAGAAUGUAUUAGGAAAAAUAACGCAUGCAUUAGCAUUGUGUAUUACUAGUACCUUGUUUGGUACUCUUUUCCAACCUAUGUAUAACUAAUGCUUGCAUUAGUUAUACACUCUAUUGUGUAUUAAUGUGUGUAUUGUUAAUGCCAUGAAUUUCUAGGUAUUAGCAAUGCAACGGUUUUAAUGCAUGCAUUAGAUUAUUAUUAUUAUAUUUAUUAUAAUUAUUAUUAUUAUAAUAAUUAUAAUUAUUAUUAUUAUAAUUAUUAUUAUUAUAAUUAUUCUUAUUAUUAUUAUUAUUCUUAUUAUUAUAAUUAUUAUUAUUUAUUAUAAUAAUAAUAAUUAUUAUUAUUAUAUUUAUUAUAAUUAUUAUUAUAAUAAUUAUUAUUAUAAUUAUGAUAAUAAUUAUAAUUAUUAUUAUUAUUAUUAUUAUUAGAGGGUAGUUUUGUCAUUAGUUAAUCUAAUGCAUGCAUUAAAACCAUUGCAUUGCUAAUACCUAGAAAUUCAUGGCAUUAACAUAAUAAUAAUAAUGUGGGGGUAUUUUUGUAAACAAAUAUUUUUUAAUAGUCUUUAUACAAGGCUUGCUAUUUCCAAUACAUCAAACCAAACAAUGUAUAAGAAAUAAUGCAAGCAUAACUAAUGCAUGCAUUACUAAUACAUCAUAUUCAACAUUAUUCUUAUACACUCUACCAAACGACCCCUUACUAUUUAUAUUAAGUAUUUUCAGACAUUGUUUUAAAAGUUCUUUAAAUAUUUUAAAUGCUCAUCUAUUAAAGCUUCCGCGUAUUCUAUUGAGUCAUAUGUGUCAUAGUCAGACAUGUCAAGUAUUUGCUUGCGGACCAGCAAUGAUUCUCGAGUGUCGGUCAUGUCCAAGGUGUAGGCUCAAGGCAUGAAAAUAAGACACAACUUCCACCAUAAGGAAAGAUGAGUAGAAGUUGUUAGGGAUCAUCAUCUUCUUCACCUAUGAAAUAUUAACUGAAUACCUACAACCAAACUAUAUCAAGUGGCAUAGCAAGAGUAGUAUUAGUACGAACAACACGUACUGGCAGGCAUCCAAACCCACCACAUAAUAUAAAGUAGACACCACCCAAAGUCUCUAUCCACGUGCUUCUACCAUCUCAGAUAUAAUACCUAUAAACUAGUAUACUUGAACCCAACCUUGUACCUCAUUAUUCUGCUAUCAACUUUGAUGUUUCCUAAGCUAGCCUUUUAUGUCACUUUAACACUUUCCAAAUUUGUCUGUGAUGUCACCCUAAUAUCAUAUCAUAAUAUAACCCUACUAUCACAUAGAGAUUACCGAAUACAAGGCCACCACUAAUGUCAAAUCAUAGACUAACCUUUCUACCACAUAAUGUCCACGAACAUAAGGUCAUCACUAGCCAUAUCAAUCAACUUGCUUGUCCUUCUAGGAAAGUACAUGACACUAGCGCAUUAGACCAACUCAUCUCUCUUGACUCACAUCCCCAUUAUCAAAUAAGUUCUAAAAAAUUAGACAACCAUGAUCAAUCACAUCACUUAACCAUAUACCAGUGUUGAACUUAACAACCACCAUUUCAAUAAAUCAAUCACAUCAUGAUAAAUAGAAAUUGAGUUUAGAAAUAAAUAAAGCAUUGAGACCUCAUAAACUUAACUCAAUAGUUAAAAUAACUAUGCAGAAUAACACCUAAGGAUUCAUUAUCAAUAAACAUUAAUUAUACCUCAACUAUCAUAAGUAACACAUAAUUUGGACUCUCAAUCCUCACCUUAGAUUUAUAUGCAUAACCCGCAAUACCAUAACCACAUGUAACAACAAUGGAGAAUAUGUAGGCUCUCAGCCACAAUAUCAUGAACAAUAACAUUUGGGUCAAACAAUGCAUAACUACAUGUCUCACCUGAUCACAAUGUAAUUAUUGGGCCCCCUCAUGAAAUCACAAUCACAUACAUGGUCCUCUCACGGAAUUCAAACUCAAGCUAUUAGUAUACCGACAUGGUACCCAAGCCAUCUAUAGUUAGUGUAUCAGUAUGGUGUCUAAAUCAUUCAUAGUUAGUGUACCUGCGUGGUACUUGAGUCAACCAACAAUCACGCAUAAUCACAUAGCGCAAUGGACAAGACCACUUGAAAAUCACAAAUCACAAUCACAAGUUCAUUGCAUGAGAUGACCAACAUGAUGUCAUUGCCUCCCUACCAUGCAUUGCAAAAAUGUUACUACAAGUAGUAAACAUGCAUACAUACUUAAAUCAGAAACAUACAACCAACACCUACAUGGGUAUAUCAAUAGCCUAACACUAGAUCCCUUUUUAUGAACACACAUUCGUUUUCUUGAUUAUCACAACCUUAGAAAUGGUUAUAACCUAACAAUAUCAUAACACUUAAUCUUACCAUUAACACCAAAUCACCCUUAAGAAAACUCAAGACUAACAAUCGAGAACUAGAGAACCACCGGUUUUCCUUAGUCAUUAUCUUUUCUUGCCCUGACAUCAAUAAAUAACAACAUUUAGUCAUCUAAACUCCAUACCCAAAGGUUUAGUCCCAUCAAUCCACAAAAUACCAUGCAGUAGUUAAGAAAACAUGUCUAACUACUCAAUUAAGGAAACCUAGCCUACCUGGGUGCCAAACAAUUGUUGUAGAAGUCUGAUCGCGAAUCUUUAACCCUUUGUAAAGCGUUAGCUUGUUCUUAGUCUAAAAUAACAAAUACAACACAACAUUCAAUCAAACAAUGACCUAAUAACUCCCGGAUUGCAACUAAAUCCUAACCCCCAAGCCAAUAUAUGAUCAUCUUCCCCAACUUAGGACUUUUUCCACCAUGAAAUUAUGUCAAAAGUUUCCUCCCAAGAGUAAUAACUUAGAUUCUAAGACUUAAGAAUCAAUGUACAAGGAUGUGUAGUAAUAAUGUUACCUUUAUUGAUGCUUUCCAUGGAAAAUCAAGUGUAACCUGCCUUAAAUUUCCCCUCCCAAGUCCAAGAACACAAAAUGCAAAAAAUAAGGUUUUUAGGGUUAUUUCUGCAUAAAACCCCGAUUCUAUCACUAAAGCAACGCCACUACAAUCGUGACUAACCUCAUUGUAGAGGUCUGAUCCCCAAAUCAAAUGAAAUCGAUUAAUUUAAUCGGCUUGAUUUGAUUUUUUAAUAUGAAUUAAUUUUUACCCUGAUCGUAAACACCCCGCUGCCCGCCCCAAUGGAAACCAUCCUUCCUAUCAUCAUCAUAUAUCAUAUAUCAUAUAUCAUCAUAUCAUAUCAUAUAUAUAUUAUAAGUGGGAAGCUUCCAAGUUAAAAGUUGAAUUACAAAAAUACCCUUCAACUAAAAAAAAAGAUAUUUUUAAUAAAUGGUUGUAAUAUAAUUUUAUACUUAUUAAGCUUUAAUUGUUUUGUAUAAUAAAAUAAUAAACGGAAAAUGAAAAAACCAAGGAGACGAUGAUCAGAUGAUAAUUUUUUAUACUUAAAAACUUUUGAUUUUGUGUUAGAGAAAAGAACCCUUUCCUUUCUUCAUUUAUUUUUUUAAAAAUAGACCAAUAACUCUAUAAAUUAUCUAAUCUUUCCUCUUCCCCAAUACCAAUAACUCUCUAAAUUAUCUAAUCUUUCCUCUUCCCAAUUUAUUACUCAGUUAAAUCGUAAGUUAAUAUAAUUAUAUAUAUUGAAUGAAAGAUGAAACAACUUCCUGAAUAUACCGUUCAUAUUCCUUUUUUGCACUUAGUAUAAUUUAUAUAAAUGCAUAUUAUCAUAUAAGGUAAUAGGACUGCUUCACUUCAGUUGCAACUUAAUAUUAUGAUAUAUUUUUUUGCCUCAUAUUCUUCGUAUUGCUUUCAUUUAUUUUUUUUCUAUUUCAUGUCUAAUGUAGUGUAUUUCUUUGCUUAUAACAGUUAGGUGAAUAAUUUUUCUUCCAUAUUAUUCUCAUUUGUAAAUCAUAAGGUGUGUGCGUUCAUAUUCUCAUUCAUUCCUGAUUUUUUUAAUAAUGUAGAUGCAUUCUUAGUUUGAAUUUAUUUUUACUAUUUAUUAAGUUUCGUAAUUGGAGUGGUAGUUCCUUCAAAGAAAUAUUAGUAAAUGACAUUUCAAAUAUCGUGAAAAAGAUAUUUAGAGUUGAUUUAUAUUGUAAGCACAUUUGAAUGUUGCAUAUGAUUAUGGUAGUCCCCCUUUCUCAUUUUCUAUCUCCAUUUUCACUCUUAAAAAGAUAAAAAUGAUUUCUUUCCUAAUGUAAUCACCAUUCUUUUGCCUUCUUUUUUCAUAUAAAAGUGAUAGUCAAUUCAUGAUUUUAUAAAAAGAACUACAAAAAUGGAUACGAGGAGAGAAAUGUGAAAUAUAUAUUUUGCACUUGAAAUAGGUAAUUGAUAUAUGUCGUGUCAAACAAAUAGUUAAUUUAAUUUGUAGUUUUAGUGAUAAAGUUUGAUUAAUUUUUAGAGUGUGUAAUUUAUUUUCACCAUUAUAAAUUAAUUACAUACGCUUUAAAUUCAUUGUAAUACAAUGUAAAUUACCUUGGUUAUUAUUAAUUAUUUCUAUUUUUCAUCUUCCUAUGUAUUAACUUUUCUCAUAAUCUAUUUAUUUUCCUUUGCCUCAAAACAUUGCUGUCAGAUAUAUAUAAGUUACUGAUAUUAUUUUGUUUCUUUUUGUUGUCUACUCUUUACCAUGCUACCAUAUCUUAUGUGUCAAUUUAGCUAUCAAACUUUUUUCAGGUAGAAUAUUAAUGACCCAUGAAAUUUAUUCUUGAAAAGCUCGGUGUUUUCGAAGUUAUUUCCUAAUCUAUUUUCCAAGUUAUUAUAUAGAUCUUAAGAUUAUUGAAUACUUAUUUGUUAAAUUGAAGCAAAUUACUCUGUCAUGAAUUUUAUUACAUCUACAUUUUUAUCUAUUGUACUUAAAUUUGACCUUUUUAUAGCAAGGGUAAAACUUAUCUGCACCGAAUGUAUACACCAAAUCAAUACAUGCAUGCUAUGUGUUUAAAUUUAUAGUUUAUUUUACUUAACUAUAAUUAAUUAACAUAUAUUUUACUUCAUCAAAUCACGUAAUAAUGAAAAUUGCAUUAGUUGAGUGCAUAUAUUCGGUGCGAAUACGUUUUUUCCUAUAUAUAAACACAUUUAUGUAAUGAGAAAUAGACAAUGUAACAAAGAAAAUUACAAGUUUAUUUUGUAGAAUAGUCUAGGUGUUCUUAUAAUGCAAAUGUGCUAUAUCUAUAUAUAAUAUAAUAGUGUUGUUCUGCCACAAAAUUAAGGGAAAAUGAUGAAAUUACAUCUCAUCAGAGGGUUUUUUUUUUUUUUGGCAACCAAUGUGAAAAUUACCAUUAACAAACAAACAAAACUUACAAACUAAGAGCAUUUCAACCUCAGUACCUUAACUGGUAUUAGAGGAGUGACCUCAUCAACUCAAACUACUUACAUAAAUUCUACCAAAAACUCCUACAUCUAUGUGCUCUUUUGGUAUUCUUAUGCAUGUCUAUCCUCGCUAUAAGUUCUCGAAUUAUUCCCUCCACUAUGUCAGUAUACUGUAUUUGUACUCCUUUGAAAUGCUUCCAAUUCCUUGCCUUCCAGAUGUGAUACACUAUUGCUCCCCAAAUAGCAGUCACCACCUCUUUCUUAAACUUCUUCCAAUGCUUCAACUUUAUCAUCUCCAAUGUAGUUUUUAACUCUUUUGCGGGAAUAAAGAUGUUGGCCCAUUGUAGUAAUUUAGCUCUCACCUUUGCAACAUAUUCACACUCUACAAACAUGUGCUUGUACGACUCUAUCAUUCCAUUUUGACACAGGCAGCAGCUAUUGUCUUCUACAUAUACUCCCAUAUUUAUCAACCUAUCCUUUGUGAGCAAUCUAUUUUGCAUUGCUAGCCACAAAAAGAACCUCUGCCUAAGUAAUACGACAGAGUUCCAAACUAAUUCAGCUACCUCAAGUUUCUCUUGAUUGCCUAUCAGAUCAUUAUAUCCACUUGUAAUUGAAUACUCCCCAUUUGUUGUAAGGUUGAACUGCCCUUACGUAUACCAUUGUUGCAUCAUAUUUUUCAGGGAGUUUAUUUUCCUCCAGUACCAACUACUAUCAACUGGUGCUUUGUGAGUCCAGACUGUAUCAGUUUUUAUGUAAAUCCCAUGCACCCAUUUCACCCAUAAGGAUUCCUUCCUCAUAACCAAUUGCCAUAAGAGCUUUCCAACAAUGGCUACAUUCCAUUUACCACAUCCUUUUAUAUUAAGUCCGCCCUGCUUCUUUGGAUAACAUAUUUUCUCCCAAGAAACCAAUGACACUUUCCUUUUUUCCUCAUUGCCUCCCCACAAAUAUUCUCUGCAUUUCUUGUCCACCUCUUUCACUACACUCUGAGGUAGGAUGAACACUGAGCCCCAAAAACUGUGUAUGGAGAACAAGACUGCCAAGAUCACUUGAAGUCUGCCUGCAUAGGAAAGUUGUUUUGCAUAGGUGUACUUGAUCCUGCUUGUUAUUUUAUCAACUAGUUGAUGGCAUUCCAUUUUUCCCCACCUUUUUGAUCUCAUCAGAGAGUUAUUAUUAAUAAAACACGAUCGGAUGUAUACACCCAAUUAAUACAAUUUCUAUUAUUUCAUGAUUUAAUGAAGCAAUUAUUUCGUAAUUUAAUGAAGCAAAACAUAUGUUAAUUAAUUAUGGUUAAGUAAAAUGAACUAUAAAUUUAAACACAUGACAUGCAUAUAUACACCCAAUGUAUACACCCGAUGUAGUGGACUCAUUUUAGGAUGCUUGGAGUCAUGUGACUUGCACAUAGAUGGGUCUGUUAAUGAUUUUAACAGAAGUUUCAUGAAGGAUGGAAUUUGCUAAGUUUUGAAUACAUUAAGGAUGAUUUUUGUUCAAUAUGAUAGUUGAAAGAUGUACAUUAAGUUUUGGUUAUAGAUAAAGAUGUUUUUGGUCAAAAACUCAAUAAAAGUAAUAUAAGUAGCAAAUCCUAGCAGGUUCUCUCACUCUUGCCUCUUUUUCUUCUCUCUAGCCUACAUUUAGGGUUUGUUGAUCGGUUCACAAUUCUCCUUCAAAGAUGAUCGUUUUGAGGAGCUCCGACGGAGAGACCUUUGAGGUCGAUGAGGCGGUGGCGCUAGAAUCGCCGACCAUUAAGCAUAUGAUAGAGGACGACUGCACUGACACCAGCAUCUCUCUACCCAACGUUACUAGCAAGAUCUUAGUCAAGGUCAUCGAAUACUGCAAGCGCCAUGUGGAGGUUCCUAAAGCUGAGGAUAAGACCGCCGAAGUGGAUCUCAAGACUUUCGAUGCUGAAUUCGUCAAAGUUGAUCAGAGCACCCUUUACGAUCUCAUGCUGGUAUGGAUCUUUUUAAAUCUAUAUGUAUAUCUUAGUUGAUUCGUAUGUGUUUUUGAUUACGAUGAUCCGAUGGUUCAAUUAUUAGUGUGCAGGAUUGCUGAUUCUUUAAUUAAUUUAUCUAAAUAACUAGAAAGAGGCAAAAGUCAUAUAACUUUUUUAUAUUCUAAAAUUAUAGUUGGAUGAAAUAUGUGACUCCUAUGGUAGAAAUGUCAUAUAGAAGCCAAGGGUGUGGCUUGGUGGUCAAUGAAAUGGUUGAGAGCCAUCAGAGGUUCAAUUCAGUGGAGACAAAAAACAUUAGGUGGUUCAUCCCAUCUAUCCUAGCUUCACCUGGUAUUUGUUGUUGAUGGGAGGUGGUAGAAAUCCCAUCGAAUUAGUCGAGGUGCGUGAAAGCCGACCAAGACACCACGUACAUCCAGUAAAGUGUCAAAGCAGUAGCAAAUAAGAGAAGAGCAGUAUCAAAACCAAAAAGAACGAAUGUUUCUAUAUUUGGAAGUUCUUUAAUUUUUCCAUUUACCCUUAGUGACAUUCUCUUAUAGGCAAUGAUAAUGUCAUUUAGUGACAUGUUUAGAUCACAUGUUCCAACUAAAAAGUACUUUCUAUGUGUUAGAACUUCCUUUAUCUUUAUUAAAUUCCAUUCCCAGUCAAGCACCACCUCCAUAUAAAAUUAACCAGAAGAUUAUUAGUUUUCUGUGAUCAGUUUGGUAAUUUUUUGUUAGGUUUUGUUUAUCUUGUGAAUCUAUGGUAGUUUGUCAAUUCACCUUUUACUUCUGGCUACCAUUGCCUAUCGACAUCGCUUUUGUUUGCUGUCUCUUCCAUAGACUGAGUUUCCGCUCUAGUUUGCUCCUGUUUAAGCUUCAAUGGUAAUAUACAUUUAGUUUAUUAGGGCGGUCACGAAUAAAUUAAUCAAUCAAUUAUGUCUCAGUCCCAAACUAAAUCAUUUCUUCCAUAUCCUUUCUGCUUUAUUUGGCUCCAAGGACAUGUCUAUGUGUAGUUGUUUUGUUGUAGUAAACAAUAAACUGCAGUUGGUUGUAGUUGUUUGAAGUAAUGAAAUGGCGUUUGACUGCUACUUCUAUAGUUCUAUUAGUCUGUUAUGUUUGGCAAAAAACAAUUCCCUUUGUCAUGGUUAAGUGAACUUUCUUUUGCUUAGUACAACAGUAUAGUACUAUAGUGGCUCAUUCUAAAACAAUGGGUAAGAACUAAGAAGAUUUGCUGUAACACUAAAAUUGAAAAUAAAACUAAAACAUAGUAACAUACUUGUAAUUGUAAAAUUAGAGUGAAGCAUAUAUUUUACCUUUAGAACAUGUAGUCAUACUUUAGUUUGUUGCCUAUUUUAAGAAAUAAAUGCUAUAUGGACAUGUUUGCAGCACAUUUUGUUUACAUGUUUGAUGUGCCUCUCUGUUCCACCUCCUGAGUUCUUGCCUGGGUAUUUUGAAUCUGUAGAGUGGCUAACAAUUGUUGAAUGUGUUUUUAAUUGUUAAAUUUUGCUGUUUCUUUUAAGCUUACUUGUAGGUUUCCAUUUCUUUUUAGUUAUUGCUAUUAGCAUUUAAUGAUUUACAAUGGACCCUCCCUCUUAGUAUCUAAUUUUCUCAAGUUUGUAGAGAUUUUCUUUUACCUUUUUCUGUUGAGAGCUUGUAUUUGAUGUUUACUGUGUUUAGGUGAUCUCACCCUAUGGCUGUUGUUACUGUUCCUUGCAUAUAGUUCUUUGCUAUUCGUUGCUAUGUUUCUCCACCUAUUUUUUCGUUUUAUUACUGCUUGGAGUUGCUUGAGCCGAGGGUCUUUCGGAAACAGCCUGCGUACACUUUACCCUCCCAAACCCCACUUUGUGGGAUUUCACUUGGUAUGUUGAUGUUGAGAGCUUGUAUAGAGGUUAAGUAUCCUUUGCGUUGUCUCUUUUCAGGCUGCCAACUAUUUAAACAUAAAGAGCUUGCUAGAUCUGACAUGUCAGACAGUAGCAGACAUGAUCAAGGGAAAGACGCCUGAGGAGAUAAGCAAGACAUUCGACAUCAAGGAUGACUUGACUCCUGAGGAAGAGGAAGAAUUCAGGAGGGAGAAUGCCUGGGCAUUCGAGUGAAUUUGAGUCUGUUAAGCAUCCAUAUCUGUAGAUAGAUCUGCAAUAUACUUUAGUAGAUGCUAUGAAUAACUUAUAUCAGUAAGUGUGUGACUGUUGUUUCUCGGACAUUCUGGCUUUGGCUGUUGAACAUCUUUUGCUCUGUUAUGCCGUGGUUUCUUAUGUUCUAAGUAAAAAUUGAAGGUAAAAUCAUGUUGGUAGCCGAUGUCCAUUUUCAUUGAUCUAUUAUUGGAAAUUCAUAUUGUUUGUUGUGUUUAUCA